UUCACACGUGAUCGAUAUAAUCCAUUGAAUACGGUUGCGUAUUUGUCUUGAGGUCUUGUCCUGUUGAAUGCGUGUCUGAGAUUAAACGCACAAUAUGGCGGAGGCAGACCGACCAGGGAAACUCUUUAUUGGUGGGCUAAAUACUGAGACCACCGAGAAGGCUCUUGAACAGUACUUCAGCAAAUAUGGCAGGAUAAUGGAAGUUCUCUUAAUGAAAGAUCGUGAAACAAACAAGUCCAGAGGUUUUGCAUUUGUGACUUACGAAAAUCCAGGAGAUGCCAAGGAUGCUGCCCGGGAAAUGAAUGGAAAGACCCUGGAUGGUAAGUCCAUCAAAGUAGAACAAGCAACAAAGCCACAGUUUGAAUCUGCUGGACGCCGUGGUCCACCAUCUUUGCAUCCACGAAGCCGUGGUCUACCAAGAGGCCCUCGCGGUUCUAGAGGAGCACCAAGCGGAAUGAGGGGUCCACCCAGCAGAGAACCCUUUUUCAAAGGUGCGUCAUCCAGAGGCCCACCUCCGUUGAAAAGAGGACCUCCAAUGCGCAGUGAAGGGCCACCACCUAAGAGACAGGCCCCGUCUGGACCCAUCGGCAGGCCUCCCAUGUCCCGUGACAGAGACCCUUAUGGACCACCUCCACCCCGUCGGGAUUCUAUGAUGUCACGGCGGGACGACUACCCCUCGCCACGGGAUGACCAUUAUUCUUCAAAAGACAGUUACUCCAGUCGGGACUACAUGAGCUCAAGGGACAGCAGAGACUAUGCUCCCCCUCCCCGUGACUAUGCUCCACCACCUCGUGAUUAUCGCGACUAUCCCCAUUCCAGCUCCAGAGAUGAAUAUGGGUCCAUGUCUAGAGGCUACAGCGAUCGUGAUGGUUAUGGCGGCGGACGAGAGCCCAGGAGUUAUGUUGAUCGACCAAGUACAGGUUCCUACAGAGACCCCUAUGAUGGUUACGUGUUUAAGGAUCCUCCACCAAAAAGUCAAAACUUUGAUGGCUUGCAACGACUUACCCAAAGACAACAGCCAAAAUGCAAGAACCUUUCCGCACCACAGAUAAAGUCUCAACGGGAUGGUAAGCAAAGCAAACCUUCUUGUUUCUCGUUAAUGGAAUUAGCUGAGGAAAGUAAACAUGAGGUACAACCCAAAGGUUGGUAUGAGUGGCGUCAAUUGUUACCCCCUUUUGCUCUGCAGGGGCAGUCUGGCGUGCCUUCCAUUCUCCAUUCUGAAAUUAUACUGUUAAGAGAUCAACCUCAGGAAAUUGAUAGUUUCAGCAAAAACUCCUUCCUUGCAACAAGUUGACUCACUAAGGAGAACUGGAAUUCUUCUGGCUCUGCGCGAUCCGUUCAGUAAAUGUUCCCCACGCAUUUGCACUGCCGCUUGAGAAUGUAAGAAAAGUCAUGGAUCCCUAAUCUGUUGUAGCAUAAGAACAUUUUCAGAAAUUUUGAAAAGGUACAUUUUGAAGAUCUGGCCCACAUUUUGAAUGGACCUAUUGCAUAAUAGUACUCAAAUACUCAGUAAUGCCCAUAUCCCAAAGGAUCUAAUCAUUUGACACGAUAAGACUACAUUUAUUCCAACCAGCCCACAGCAAGCAUGCCCUGACACUUGGAAGUUCUGUGGAAAGAAGCCACCAACCAGGAAAACGGGGAAAAAUAACGGAGCCAAGUUCAAACAAAUUCUACCUUCAUUUCUUGGGCUACAUAUUGAUGAAUGUAUGUAUGGACAUUGAUUGUUAUGUAAAUCUCUUGCAGGAUGACUGAGCAAUGAUUUCUGAAUCAUUGGCUCAUCUCAGUGUCCUGUUGGUAAAUGUUUGUUGCUCAGGAGAUCUUGAUGCACAGGAGAUGUUCACAGAUCCCAGGGCCGGGCUUGGAAGAGUAGUAUGCGUUUUUUUGCCUUGGGUGUUGCAGUGUGGCAAGGAUGGCGAUCAUCUUCAUGGACACAUUGAUGUGUUCAUAUUAAAAUAAAGAUUUCAAAUCAACUAA